GGGUUGUAAAGUCCUUUUGCUAGGGAACAAUAUUUUGAGCGUACCUAGAGAAUAAGAGGUUGCUAACUCUGUGCCAGCAGCAGCGGUAAUACAGAGACCUCAAGCGUUAUCCGGAAUCAUUGGGCGUAAAGCGUACCGAUAGGUGGUUUUACAAGUCAGAAGUGAAAUCUCUCAGCUUAACUGGGAGACUGUCUUUUGAAACUGUAAAACUAGAGGAACAAAGAGGAAGCUGGAACGAACGGUGUAGUAGUGAAAUGCGUUGAUAUCGUUCGGAACACCAAUAGCGUAGGCAGGCUUCUGGGUGUUUCCUGACACUGCUAGGACGAAAGCGUGGGUAGCGAAUGGGAUUAGAUACCCCAGUAGUCCACGCUGUAAACGAUGCACGUUAGGUGCUAGGGAGUAUCGAACCUCCUUAGUACCAAAGCUAACGCGUUAAACGUGCCGCCUGGGGAGUACGGCCGCAAGGCUUAAACUCAAAGGAAUUGACGGGGACCUGCACAAGCCGGUGGAGCAUGUGGUUUAAUCCGACGGGAAGCGAGGAACCUUACCAAGGGUUUGACAUGUAG
rnacentral:rRNA from 1 species